rnacentral:rRNA from 1 species
GCACAAGCGGUGGAUGAUGUGGAUUAAUUCGAUGCAACGCGAAAACCUUACCUACCCUUGACAUGUCUGGAAUCCCGAAGAGAUUUGGAGUGCUCGCAAGAGAACCGGAACACAGGUGCUGCAUGGCUGUCGUCAGCUCGUGUCGUGAGAUGUUGGGUUAAGUCCCGCAACGAGCGCAACCCUUGUCAUUAGUUGCUACGAAAGGGCACUCUAAUGAGACUGCCGGUGACAAACCGGAGGAAGGUGGGGAUGACGUCAAGUCCUCAUGGCCCUUAUGGGUAGGGCUUCACACGUCAUACAAUGGUCGGGACAGAGGGUUGCCAACCCGCGAGGGGGAGCUAAUCCCAUAAACCCGAUCGUAGUCCGGAUUGCAGUCUGCAACUCGACUGCAUGAAGUCGGAAUCGCUAGUAAUCGUGGAUCAGAAUGUCACGGUGAAUACGUUCCCGGGUCUU